rnacentral:rRNA from 1 species
AAGUCGAGCGGAAACGAUGAUAGCUUGCUAUCAGGCGUCGAGCGGCGGACGGGUGAGUAAUACUUAGGAAUCUACCUAGUAGUGGGGGAUAGCACGGGGAAACUCGUAUUAAUACCGCAUACGACCUACGGGAGAAAGGGGGCAGUUUACUGCUCUCGCUAUUAGAUGAGCCUAAGUCGGAUUAGCUAGAUGGUGGGGUAAAGGCCUACCAUGGCGACGAUCUGUAGCUGGUCUGAGAGGAUGAUCAGCCACACCGGGACUGAGACACGGCCCGGACUCCUACGGGAGGCAGCAGUGGGGAAUAUUGGACAAUGGGGGAAACCCUGAUCCAGCCAUGCCGCGUGUGUGAAGAAGGCCUUUUGGUUGUAAAGCACUUUAAGCAGUGAAGAAGACUCCGUGGUUAAUACCCACGGACGAUGACAUUAGCUGCAGAAUAAGCACCGGCUAACUCUGUGCCAGCAGCCGCGGUAAUACAGAGGGUGCAAGCGUUAAUCGGAAUUACUGGGCGUAAAGGGAGCGUAGGUGGCUCUAUAAGUCAGAUGUGAAAUCCCCGGGCUUAACCUGGGAACUGCAUCUGAAACUGUAGAGCUAGAGUAUGUGAGAGGGAGGUAGAAUUUCAGGUGUAGCGGUGAAAUGCGUAGAGAUCUGAAGGAAUACCGAUGGCGAAGGCAGCCUCCUGGCAUAAUACUGACACUGAGGCUCGA